GACGUAGGGCGCGAGCGUUGUCCGGAUUUAUUGGGCGUAAAGAGCUCGUAGGCGGCUUGUCGCGUCGAAUGUGAAAUCUCAGGGCUCAACUCUGACAUUGCAUUCGAUACGGGCAGGCUAGAGUUCGGUAGGGGAGACUGGAAUUCCUGGUGUAGCGGUGAAAUGCGCAGAUAUCAGGAGGAACACCGGUGGCGAAGGCGGGUCUCUGGGCCGAUACCGACGCUGAGGAGCGAAAGCGUGGGGAGCGAACAGG
rnacentral:rRNA from 1 species